rnacentral:rRNA from 1 species
GACGAACGCUGGCGGCGUGCUUAACACAUGCAAGUCGAACGGAAAGGCCCUGCUUUUGUGGGGUGCUCGAGUGGCGAACGGGUGAGUCACACGUGAGUAACCUGCCCUUGACUUUGGGCUAACUUCAAGAAACUGGGGCUAAUACCGGAUAGGAGCUCCUCCUGCAUGGUGGGGGUUGGAAAGUUUCGGCGGUGGGGGAUGGACUCGCGGCUUAUCAGCUUGUUGGUGGGGUAGUGGCUUACCAGGGCUUUGACGGGUAGCCGGCCUGAGAGGGUGACCGGCAACAUUGGGCCUGAGGAACGGCGCCGACUCCUACGGGAGGCAGCAGUGGGGAAUAUUGCACAAUGGGCGGAGGCAGGAUGCCGCAACGCCGCGUGCGGGAUGACGGCCUUCGGGUGGUAACCAGCUUUCGCCUGUGACGAAGCGUGAGUGACGGUAAUGGGUAAAGAAGCACCGGCUAACUACGUG